UGGGGAAUAUUGCACAAUGGGCGAAAGCCUGAUGCAGCAACGCCGCGUGAGUGAUGAAGGCCUUCGGGUUGUAAAGCUCUGUCUUUUGGGACGAUAAUGACGGUACCAAAGGAGGAAGCCACGGCUAACUACGUGCCAGCAGCCGCGGUAAUACGUAGGUGGCAAGCGUUGUCCGGAUUUACUGGGCGUAAAGGAUGCGUAGGCGGAUUUUUAAGUGAGAUGUGAAAACCCUAAGCUUAACUUGGGGACUGCAUUUCAUACUGGAAAUCUAGAGUGCGGGAGAGGAGAAUGGAAUUCCUAGUGUAGCGGUGAAAUGCGUAGAGAUUAGGAAGAACACCAGUGGCGAAGGCGAUUCUCUGGACCGUAACUGACGCUGAGGCAUGAAAAGCGUGGGUAGCAAAACAGGAUUAGAUACCCUGGUAGUCCACGCCGUAAACGAUGAGUACUAGGUGUAGGAGGUAUCGACCCCUUCUGUGCCGCAGUUAAACACAAUAAGUACUCCGCCUGGGAAGUACGAUCGCAAGAUUAAAAACUU
rnacentral:rRNA from 1 species